CCACUUAUUCCAACUUCUGACUUCACGUAUAAAAGGAAAGUUGGAACAUUUUAGGGUUUAAGGCAGCAGUGAGCGUCUGGCAAUUCCAAGGCGAUUCGGUUUCAAAGGGUAAAUCAGUGCGAUACAAUCAUUCUGCGACCAUAAACGACAUCGAUCAGUCCCUGAUUUCGUAUUCUCUUAAAAGAACAACCGAGUCAUGUAUAAGAUACAGGGUGACGGGCCACCUUGUGCAUGUGGAAGGGGUCGAAUGAAUCUUUAUACGGCUGGAAUUUCAAAGAAUUAUGGACGUCCAUCUAUAGAUGUCCAGCUUAGGAGGAUACGGUCAGUACCCGUUCCAAGGUUGAGGUUAGCAGUGUGGGACCACCAUCCGAACUCAUCUACUCUUACGAUCUAGUUCAAGGUAGAAGUUUUAUGUAUUACUUCAGUUUCAGUUUUUAUUUACUUUUGACGUUGAACUCUCAGAUUUAUAUUUAGGGAUCCUUGACAUAGGAUUUCCAAGUUGUAAUGGAGUAUUGUAUUAAAUAAAGGAUGGAUGGAUGUUGUAUUA